rnacentral:rRNA from 1 species
UACAGAGGUCUCGAGCGUUGUUCGGAUUCAUUGGGCGUAAAGGGUGCGUAGGUGGUCUGGUAAGUCGGAUGUGAAAUCCCGGAGCUUAACUUCGGAACUGCAUUUGAUACUGCCGGACUGGAGUACUGGAGAGGAGAUCGGAAUUUACGGUGUAGCAGUGAAAUGCGUAGAUAUCGUAAGGAAGACCAGUGGCGAAGGCGGAUCUCUGGACAGUUACUGACACUGAGGCACGAAGGCCAGGGGAGCAAACGGG